GACGAACGCUGGCGGCGUGCUUAACACAUGCAAGUCGAACGGAAAGGCCUCUUUCGGGGGGUACUCGAGUGGCGAACGGGUGAGUAACACGUGAGUAGCCUGCCCUUGACUUUGGGAUAACUUCAGGAAACUGGGGCUAAUACCGGAUAGGAGCUCCUGCUGCAUGGUGGGGGUUGGAAAGUUUCGGCGGUUGGGGAUGGACUCGCGGCUUAUCAGCUUGUUGGUGGGGUAGUGGCUUACCAAGGCUUUGACGGGUAGCCGGCCUGAGAGGGUGACCGGCCACAUUGGGACUGAGAUACGGCCCAGACUCCUACGGGAGGCAGCAGUGGGGAAUAUUGCACAAUGGGUGGAAGCCUGAUGCAGCAACGCCGGGUGCGGGAUGACGGCCUUCGGGUUGGAAACCGCUUUCGCUCAUGACGAAGCUUUGUGUGACGGUAGUGGGUAAAGAAGCACCGGCUAACUACGUG
rnacentral:rRNA from 1 species